GGGGUUCUCCAUCAUCUUGCUAAAGGAUUGGGCCAGGGACCCACGUGAUGUUGAGCCGAGCCGGGAGGGGUCAGGACCUGAGUAAACGUGGAGUGAGACCACCCCACAGGCGAUGGCUGGAUGCGCCUGUGCAAGUGCAAGCUGAUGCACAUGGGCAGGCUCCUGAGGCCUCAGGAAAAGGGGUAUCAUCCUAGCUCUGGUCAAAGAACAUGCUGUCCUGCCCAGAGAGCCAGGCUGUCCUCAUCAAGGGCUUCCCCUGGGGAGCUGAAGCAAGCCAAGGAGUUUGAGUUCAUUGUGAGUGACCCCAAAGUGUAUGAGGGUGUGAGGCAUGACACCAUUCUUCCCUCACCACCAUAGAGAUCUGAGUGGGUGAGACUCGGGAGAGAGGAGAUGACCAGAGGGAAAUGGAGUUUUGUAUUAUCAAAGGACGUUCUGCUUGUUGGAAGCAUCUAGAACCUGUGUGAAUAGCUAAAGAGCUCUAUGAGGGCAGGGACAAUGUCUUUAAUAUCUCCCUGCACAGUUCCUGCCCCUGAGUAGCAGGGGGUUUAGCAGCAUCUCUGGGCCAUACAGAUGGAAUACAAUUCUUCACCUGUUUAUUCCACCACUUCUGUUUGCCCACCUCUAUUCGUUCAUCUAUUUAUUCCCCAGAUAGUCUUUGGGAACAGGCCCUGUCCAGGGGAGUCCACGAGACAGACUCUGCUCUGUGCCUGCUCUCAGGAUGCCGACAGCUAGAGCAGUAAGUGAUGGAACAAAAAAUUACUGGUCACGGUCAUUGCAGUGAGGAACAUAAAACAGAAUGACGUCUGGGGGGAUGCUAUUUCAGUUUGGGUAGUCCAGGUGGCUCCCAUGAAGCAGGGACAUUGGAGAGCUGAGUGAUGAUGGAGGAGCUAACCCAUGCUGGGCAAGUUGGAGCGAAUUUUUUCAGGUUAUUUUUACACUUUAUGAAAAGGCCCACCCAGGCACCUGAACCUCGAGGACUGGAGCAUUUGGAAAUGG